ACUUCAAACCUUUUCUAGAUGCCUGAGCCAUGCUAAUUAGCCUUUUCUAGAUUCCUGAGCCUUGCUAAUGCUUCUGCUAAUUAGCUUGGGACUAAAUAUUUCGCCUCUUGGAACAUUGAUCUGCUUUCUCAGGAAACUUUAGCUGUGGUUCUGAAGGUAUUAGAAUGGAGCAUCCUGGAAGGUCUCCGCUGGAAUGCCAGUUUAAAGAACGUGAUAUUUGCAUGUAGAACUGGAUUCAUUAUUGGAGCAUUCGAU
rnacentral:misc_RNA from 1 species